ACUUGUUUUGGCAGAAUUCAGAGGGCUAGAAAACUUUUCAGAAAACUAAAACUUUUUGUUUUGAAAAAUGUUACUGUGGUCCUUCUCUGACAUUGUCAUUUGGACGCCUGCUGGUCCUGUUCUGCAAAGUUGAGGCUGCCUGCCAUCUUUGAUACUGUGCCAUGAUCUCCCCUCUUCGCAGGGAGUAGAGGAAGUAGGGAAUCCUUCAAAGUGAUCAGCUGUUGAGGUUGUCAUUUAAAUGGCGAGUCCAGUUGAUAGAGGAGGAGAUCUGCCACGUGAACCAGUGAUAAGAAUUUGCUACAACCAUGCCUUAAAUAUAAUGGUGAACCUUUUUGGGUAUUCUUCCAAAGCCAGUGGACAGAGUUGUGCAGUAACACAGUAAAGGAGGAUUUACAGAAAGAAAAUGUGAAUUAGAAUCUACCUCUUAUGCUUUCCGCAGUGAUGAUGUAGCUGGUCAUCUUUUGUGCCUUUGGACAUCUUGUUUCAGAGAGGCCUUCACUUGUGUAAAACAGGCAUAAAACGCUACCACAGUGAUGCAAGUGUAAAUGACAACGUGAGAGAGCCAUGUGUAAAAGCUUGUAAACGUUUGUAGUUGCCGGGCUUGCCUCACCGUGCCUGAGAGAUGUCUCCGCUGAGCUAUACUUUGGGUGUGCAUGUGAAAAUGAAUUCGCUUAGAUUAAGGCAUCUCUAGACUCAGCCGUCACAUCCUAAAGAGGCUGACAGCAUGUGAAGGCAGAAAGUAUCCUUUGAUGAGAAAAUGCAAAUCUUAAACAAAACAUUUGCAGAACCACUAAUCACCAUUUCCGUACAAUUGCAGAAUGAUAUGGUAUUUGUUACAGAACGACUCUAAGAAACCAUACCAGGAGCUAAGACAGAGAAAGCCAAAGGUCUGGUUUGCUGAUGGAAGCCAAAGUAAGAGCUUCUUUGUCCUAGUUUCUGAUGAAGUAUUCUGGCCCCUGUUUUAUUUCCCCGUUCCUCCGUGUGGUCUUCCUGAGACCUCUUGGCAGAGAGAGGGUUUCACAGCCUGCAGUGUUAAUUCUGAGAAGUGUGAAGGAAGCUGAACCAUGCUGGAUGAUGUGACUCACCUUGGAGAAGUUGGUAUUUUCCAGCUGAGUGAAAGUGGAAAGUUUCAGCCUUGCUAGUCCAGAUGUUUUAAUGGACGUUGCUGCAGUAGAGAAACCUUUGUUUGUGCAUCCUGCUCAGCACUGAAUAGGAGAGUAACAAGUUACACAGUAGCAUAAAUGUUUAAUGAUUUAUGAUAAAAAAACCUUAGAUGGUGAGCAAAAUACUAAGUUAAUUGACUAUGGAGUCUUAAAUUCCUCCCAAAAUAGUAUUCCAGCCAAAUAUGGCUGAAAUAUCAGCUGUCAUCUUAUGAAUAUUUUAAAGAGGAUUCUAUUAUACACCUAGGGGUUCAUUCGCUUCAGUAAUGAGGACAGUUACCUCUAGGGAAAGGAAGCUGUAUUAUGCUUGCCACUUAACCAGGGGCUGGUUUGACAGGCAUCAGCUCAGAAUAUAUGUGUAUAUAUAGGGAAUCACAGCUGCUUGUGUCUAUCUCACCGAGCAGGCAAUGUUGUGCUGUACAAUACUUUGGAUUUCUAUCUGUGGAUCUAUGCAUGGCACUGAGUGGGAUUCAUACUAUUUUUAUUCCUGAGCUCAGUUGUUGAGGUGGAAUCCAUCACCUACUAAAUAUUAAAUCAGCAGUUUUUUUAAGGGGUAACACUAUCUCUGCUGACUUGAACAUCCUUAUGUGGCCCAGAGGAAAAGAGAAACAAAGACAAGAUGAGAAAACGAUCAUCCUUUGCAUUCUUCUUAAUAUUAAUGAUUUCUCUAAAGUUUUCAAACUGCUGAAGACAAGAAGUGAGACAGAACUUUCACAUGGGUAAGAAAUGACCCAGGUUAGAAAAAAAAAAGCAUAAAUUAUAAAAACAGCAGUGAAACUUCUGGAGUUUAAUUCUUUGUUGGAGAGAAUGGAGAAAAUGCAUCAGCUGAUUCUUUAAAACCAUUUUGUUUAAUUGUUUUAUUUUUUAAUUUAUUUAACUCAACCAAACAUGGUUGGAAAUUAUUAGGAAUGGGUCUAUUCAAAAAUAUUUGAAGAGUUCCAUGCAAGCAUGCUUUAUAAUAGUUUUUGCACUGAGUAUUGUUUCUGAAACCUGAUGUCUGCAAAUACUGAAGUUUUGAGAUAUCUGCCCAACUUGUAUGGUAUUGUCCAUCUUGUCAGACUGCAUGGAAUUGGAUAUAGUUACUUCUUUUUUUUUUUUUUUUUAAUUAAUGGCUGUACCUCAUAGGCGUCACUCAAAGGCAGCAAUUUGGCGGGUUUCUGAAUAAGCGUUUCUAAUAUCUCUCUAGGUUCCUAUAGGAGUACUCAUCAUGCACCACUGCACAACUAAAAGCUCAUCUCUAUUACUCCCAAAGACUGUGCACAAAAGUUACUUCUAUGAAAAAGGCCAGUCACCUCACCUCAGUCCCUAGAACUGUGAUAGAGCUACUGAUCCUGGAUACUAUUUCCAGACACAUGAAGGACAGGAAGGUAACUGGGAAUAGUCAGCAUGGAUUUGUGCAGGGGAAAUCAUGCUUAACCACUCAG